rnacentral:rRNA from 1 species
CCAAUAGCGUAUAUUAAAGUUGUUGCCGUUAAAAAGCUCGUAGUUGAACUUCGGGAUCAAUGGAUCGGUCAUGCCAUCGGUAUGUACUGGUCUCAUUGGUUCUCACCUUCUAAGGAACCAUAAUGUCAUUCAUUUGAUGUUUUGGGGAAUUAGGACUGUUACCUUGAAAAAAUUAGAGUGUUUAAAGCAGGCUAACGCUUGAAUACAUUAGCAUGGAAUAAUGAAAUAGGACAUCGCAUUCUAUUUUGUUGGUUUCUAGGAUCGAUGUAAUGAUUAAUAGGGAUAGUUGGGGGCAUUAGUAUUCAAUUGUCAGAGGUGAAAUUCUUGGAUUUAUUGAAGACUAACUACUGCGAAAGCAUUUGCCAAGGAUGUUUUCAUUAAUCAAGAACGAAAGUUAGGGGAUCGAAGACGAUCAGAUACCGUCGUAGUCUUAACCAUAAACUAUGCCGACUAGGGAUCGGAUGAUGUUGAUUUUUUAAUGACUCAUUCGGCACCUUACG